rnacentral:lncRNA from 12 species
UGGAGGAUCAACCCCCAUCUUUUCCACUCUCCAUGGUCCCUUCCCCUAGGAUGGUCUUGUCCCGGGUGGCUCUCCCAUCUCUCAGCUCACAAUGACCACUGGAUGACAGUCUUCGAGGAUCUGUGAUGCUGGAAGGGAGCUGAGAGCUACAGAGAAGGGGAUAGACAUCCCCAGAGAAGCAUGUUGUGGGUGCGAGUAGAGACUGAGCUCUGCGUCCUCAGCUUCUUGUCCCAGCUCUGCCUCAGAGAAGCCUGUUGUUUUCAGCUCUGGGCUUCACUCUCCUCGUUGGGAAAAUAUGAGUAAGACUAGAGCCCCCCUCCUAGAUGUGUUGUGAGAGUUAAAUAAAGUGAUGAAUACACAGCGCACCACCCAGGAUAAGGAGGAUAAGGCGAGUUACAACAUCACAACAAGAGCCAGUAUUUUCUGAUGUGCGCUACUCCCAGUCCCUGUGCUGAGAGCUUUGACUCCAUUCUGCAGCUGAGCUCUCCAGGAGUCUGGGGAGCAGAUGGACAUUUUAAUAAUGAGGAGUCUACACUGGAGGCUUUACUGUGGGAGGAGCCCACAGGCUGGCACAACAAGCCUUGGAAACUUCCUUGAAGCCCAACUGAGGUAAGAAAGAGGAAUAUACUGGGAGAAAACCACCUAGUCCCUGAUAUUUUCAGGGUUCUCCUUUAUCUGUCCACCCGUGCACCUGAGCUUUUUUAUUUACAUAGGCUUCCUUGCUUAUUAUUAAGUCAGGGCUUCCAGGGAAGUAGAGUUAAAUUAAAGAUCAGAGGCAAAGAUAGCCAUGGUUACUAUAUAAAUACCUGUCUGCAUCAUAUAAGAUACCGGAGUUAAUCAACUCCAAGAACAAAGGCAGUGCCCAAAUGAAAAAACUGCCUGCCGGAGCUGGCUACAGCAACCCUGCUGAGUGCAGGAAAUAAAUAUGGGAACCAAUAGGCCA